rnacentral:sRNA from 1 species
GCAGGGUACAGGGGCGUGUGCCUGUAAUCCUAGCUGCUCCGGAGGUUGAGGCAGGAGGGUUGUAAAUUCAAGGCCAGCUUCAGCAACUUAGUGAGGCCCUAAGCAACUUGGUGGGACCCUGCCUCAA